rnacentral:snoRNA from 1 species
GGGUCAUUUCAAAGAGGUCUUGUGGGGCUGUGAAACCAAGAGCUCUUAAUGCUCUACCUAAAGACUGGAGGUUCUCCAUGGACUGCCAUAAUCACUCAGUAGUGCUAUGUUUUCCCAAGGAGAUAGAAGA